GCCGCCGUGCUGGAAUUGGUAGACAGGCUGGAUUCAGGAUCCAGUGUGGGCAACUACGUGAGAGUUCGAGUCUCUCCGGCGGCACCA
rnacentral:tRNA from 1 species